rnacentral:rRNA from 1 species
CCGGGCGCACGGUGAGUAACGCGUAUGCAACUUGCCUAUCAGGAGGGGAUAACCCGGCGAAAGUCGGACUAAUACCGCAUGAAGCAGGGGCCCCGCAUGGGGAUAUUUGCUAAAGAUUCAUCGCUGAUAGAUAGGCAUGCGUUCCAUUAGGCAGUUGGCGGGGUAACGGCCCACCAAACCGACGAUGGAUAGGGGUUCUGAGAGGAAGGUCCCCCACAUUGGUACUGAGACACGGACCAA